rnacentral:rRNA from 1 species
GUAUUAGUUAGGUUCUUAAAACCCAAAGGAUUUGGCGGUAUUUUAAUCUGCUUAGAGGAGCUUGUCCCUUAAUCGAUAAUCCACGAUUUUAUUUACUUUUAUUUGUUUUCAGUUUGUAUACCUCCGUCAUAAGAAUUUCUUUAUAGAGGAUAUUUUCUUUAUUAUCUUAAAUAAAAAUGUCAGGUCAAGGUGCAGCUUAUAUAAAAGGGGAGAUGGGCUACAAUAGAAUUUAUUUUUGGAUUUUUCCAAUUAGUUGUUAAAUGAAACUGGAUUUAAGAGUAAAGAUUUUUAUUAAUUAUCUUGAAGACUGCUCUGAAAUAUGCACACAUCGCCCG